UUCGAUUUCAAUUUCACAUCUUUAGUUUUUUCUUCAAAAGUGUGUGCAUUAUUAAUCGGCUGAGAAGAAUAUUUUCUGAAUUUAAUCAAGAAAAAUAAUUUGCUAAUUAAAUAUCGUGACUAUGGACGCUGAAGUCGAAAGCGGCAUUGAAAACAACAUACAAUCUGGCGACGAGGCGGAUUCUCCAACUCUAGAUGCUGAAUCGCUAUUUAAAGGUAGUGCGGCUGGGGCUUCUCAGGAAAACAUUUCAACCCCGAAUAUAAAUGGAAAUGCGGAACAAGCAACGCCAGAUACAAGUGAGGGUGAAUCUCAAUGGACCCAAAACAAUCAAGCUGCUCCUGCAGUGAAACCUUUCGGAGUGCCACCAUUUGGUGGUCCACCAGGAUCUUUUCGUGGAGGACGUGGCGGUAUUCAUAUAAUGCCUUUUGGACGUGGUGGUGCUCGAGGUGGUGGCGGCAAUUUUGGUGGACGUGGCCCCGGAAACUUUGAUCCGAAUUGGCAGGGACAAAAUCAAAACGCUCCACUAAAUAUUACAAAUGGUCCACCCUUGGAACUGUGGGUGGAGACCAAGACUGAGGAUGGCAAAUCCUAUUUCUACCAUGCUAUGACACGUGAAACCACAUGGAAUAAACCAGAAGGACAAAAUAUUAAAGUUAUGACUCAAAUGGAAAUUGAGGAAAUGAAUAAAAAACAGCAACCACAGCAAACACAACAGAAUAACACACUGCACACCGAUGCAAAUGUUAAGGGACCAGAGUCUAGUGGUCACGUUCAAGGUGGUAUGAUGGGCGUGCAAAAGGAGCUACCGCCAAUGUCUGUAGCACCGCCCAUGAAGGCACCGGAUACAUUGACACAACAUCCACCACCCAAUAUGAUGUCACAACCACCACCCACACAACAGACCUUGACACAGCCACCACCGAAUGUAGUACCAAGCGGUGCACCUCCAAUGACCCAACAACCUCCGCCCGCAAUGCAUCAACAGCCGCCGCCAUUCUUUCCUCCCGGCAUGCAUCCACCUAAUUUCUCGCAACCGCCAUUUGGUAUGCCUCCACCUGGCUAUGGUGGUUUUCAAGGUGGACCAGCGCCUUGGGGUAUGCCCUGGAAUCAGCACAUGCACCCUCCACAUGGUCCGCCGGCACAGGACAAGCCUGCAAAGAAUUUAAUUAUCAAACCUGGUGUGAUUGACCCCGCUGUAAUUGCACGAGCUGCUGAAUGGUCCGAACAUCGCGCGCCUGAUGGGCGUCCCUACUAUUACCACGCCGCUCGCGGCGAAAGCGUUUGGGAGAAACCACAAGCUUUACGCGACAUGGAAGCGGCACGUAUGGCUGCUCAUUCAGGCACAACUCCACAACAGGCAGUGAUGCCACAAGUCGCACCCAACAUGCCGCCACACAUGAUGCCCAAUCCCACACUCAUGCAUAUGGCGCCGGCAGCUGCAGGUUAUGACCAAGCGAUGGCUUAUAAUGCUGCCGCUGCCGCAGCCGCCGCAGCUGCAGCCGCUGCUGCUAACCUCAAACCUCUCGAACAAACAAAAGCAGCACAAGCUGCGGCAUUGGAAAAAGAGUCCAAGAAGGUGGCAGAGGAAAAACGCAAGAAAGAGGAAGAGCAACAAAAGAAAGUCACUGCAACGGCAGUUAAACCAGUAGAUAAAUCACGUCCUAUUUCCAGUACACCCAUCGCAGGCACACCAUGGUGUGUCGUUUGGACAGGUGACGCAAGGGUGUUCUUCUAUAAUCCCUCUACACGCACCUCCGUUUGGGAGAGGCCUGACGAUUUACUCGACCGUGCUGACGUAGACAAAGCGGUCAAUAAUAUGCCGGAACAGUUAAAGGCGGCUGGUAAUGUCGCUACGGAGAAACAACAAGUGGAAAAGAAUGAGUCUGAGAAGAAGAAGGAGGUUGAGGUGACUGAGGAAGACGAAGAAGAAGAGAGAGAGCGAAGAAUGGAGAUAGAAGAUGACGAAGUCAUCAAAAUACGCACUGAAUCUGAAUCCAGUGUGGAAGAAGUGCCCACUAAAAAGUCCAGACUAUCCGCAAAGCAAACAAGAAAAGCGGAUGCCAAUGAAGCAGCCGUAGAAGCUGAGGUACGCGCAGCUAAGGAGCGCGCUGUAGUGCCAUUGGAGACGCGUGUCAAACAGUUUAAGGAAAUGUUGCGUGAAAAGGAUGUUUCAGCAUUUAGCACUUGGGAGAAGGAGUUGCACAAAAUCGUUUUCGAUCCGCGGUACUUACUGCUGACCUCUAAGGAGCGCAAACAGGUAUUUGAAAAGUAUGUCAAAGAUCGAGCCGAGGAGGAACGCAAAGAGAAACGUAAUAAAAUGCGGCAAAAGCGUGAAGAUUUUCGUAAGCUUAUGGAGGAUGCAAAAUUGCAUGGCAAGUCGUCAUUCAGCGACUUUUGUCAGCGUUAUGGCAAAGAUGAACGCUAUAAAGCUAUCGAAAAGGUGCGCGAACGUGAGAGCCUCUUCAACGAGUAUAUUGUAGAUGUGCGUCGACAAGAGAAAGAGGAGAAAAUACAAAAAAAGGAACAGGUAUGUGCGUGUUCCAUUAAAUGCAUGCGGGCUGAGAAUGCGUUUGCUAGCUUAGUUAAUUUGGGUUUUGGGGUGCAGCAAACGCAGUUCUUAUUUAAAUAUUUAGUAAUGCGUAUUUUUAACGAUUAAUUGAAAUUUUCAUACGUCUCUAUUUGUAUAUACACUUAUUUAUUAUAUAUUGUUAAUGCUUCACAGCAAAGUUUAUACUUUUUAUUUUUUAUAAAAAUUUUCUUCACUCUAAUCUUGAAAUCUCAAAACCAAACAAACAAAAAAAAAAUCAAACAAAUCUACCACUACUACUACGACGCUUAUAAAUAUCGGCUACCAUUAUGCACGAUCAACGCAUUGUCGACCAACAACAACAAAACAUAGUUAAUUGCAACAAAGCAUCUGAAUAUAGAUCAGCCGACGCUUGAAGUGUAUUUAAAAUCGAUGCUAAUUUACUUAGCCACGUAAAAAUUUGUUGACUUAGAGAAAAGCAGAAUUGCUAAAUACAUUUUCUAGGCUACACUACAGUAGAAACAGUGAAACGAAAACAGGAAACGCAGCAAAAUAAUAUGUUGAAGCGUUGCAGCGUAACGUGUGAUUGUAACACACAUGGCCAUGGAGCUGCCAACGACCGCAUCAAAUUACAUUGAUCCGCAAAGGCAACCAUGCCCAUCCUGCUAUCACCCAGCAUCCCAGUGACACUUGCCUGUUCGUUAGUACCUUCACCGUGCUUACGUACGCCUGCUUGGCACGUUUCCCCCAAAUUGUUUGUGUCUAACUAGCUCCGAGCUCGUGAUCAACGUUGACUUCAUUAAACUAUCAGCAAACAAACACAAAUCAAUGUUUAUCAACGUUAAAACUUGGUGAUUUACCCCUCUGCCAGGAACGUCUCACACAUGUACUGUAUUGAACCAAUUUGGAAACGGUGAAUAUUGAUGGAUGGAUAAUAGCAAGGGACACAAAGAAGACUAACGGCAUUAGGCAGACGACAAGACAUGCCAAUCUCCCAACAGCUGGCUGUUUAGUUAAUGUUGGCGCUCGAGUCUCCAGUCUCUGGUCUCUGCGGGUGGCAGAGCGGGAACUAGAGCGGGAGUGGAAGUUGAGCGAGAAGAGACAGAAACAGUAUGAAUAAAAACUCAAUCUAAACUUCAUACAUUUAGAAUUUUUGUUACAGCCGCAAAUGCAAUAGGCAUAUAAAAAUUCAAUAUUUCACAUUCGUGCUUUGUGAAUAUUUUGAAUUAACGAUUUUCUAAUUGAUUUGAAGCUAGUAAAUCAAUUGCUUUAACACACCUACUAUAUAUACAUAUUAGUAUUUCGAAAAUGUCAAAUGAAUGUGAAAUAUUGAUUUUUACUGACGGGCUUUACUUGUAAGUUCAUAAAGUAAAGCAUUCAAUACAUUAGCUAUGUGUAUUCUUAUUAUAUAAAACACGUACAUUUACAUAUUGUCCGUCUGUCCGCCGACAACGCCGUGCUGCUGCACAAUGCCACUCCAAUUUAUGCAAAUAAAAUUUCCACUUUUCAGCGCUACACUGUUGGAUGCCAUAAAAUUCAGUGUUCAAUAAAUUUUUCUUUCAGCAUUCAACGACACACUUAAUUAAAUUUGAACUUCUCUUGCAGCAUUUAGUGUAUAAGUUAUUAUUGUUGACGUUUAAGUUAGUGAUUAAGAGUCAUCUAUAAGCCCCUGUUAUGUUCCAAUAAAUGUAUGGUGUAAGCUAAAACGAAAGCCAAUAUCUGAAA